rnacentral:rRNA from 1 species
UAACACGUGAGCAACCUGCCCCUAACUCUGGGAUAACGCUUCGAAAGGAGUGCUAAUACCGGAUAUGAGCCUGGAAGACAUCUUCUGGGUUGGAAAGUUUUUCGGUUAGGGAUGGGCUCGCGGCCUAUCAGCUAGUUGGUGAGGUAAAGGCUCACCAAGGCGACGACGGGUAUCCGGCCUGAGAGGGCGACCGGACACACUGGGACUGAGACACGGCCCAGACUCCUACGGGAGGCAGCAGUGGGGAAUAUUGCGCAAUGGGCGAAAGCCUGACGCAGCGACGCCGGCGUGAGGGAUGAAGGUCUUUCGGAUUGUAGACCUCUUUCAGCAGGGACGAAGCGAAAGUGACGGUACCUGCAGAAAGAAGCACCGGCUAACUACGUGCCAGCAGCCGCGGUAAUACGUAGGGUGCAAGCGUUGUCCGGAUUUAUUGGGCGUAAAGAGCUCGUAAGGCGGUUAGACACGUCGGAUG